rnacentral:lncRNA from 1 species
UCGCAAACUGUGAAUUCAUUUCACCCGGUAUCUUGAAGUGUCAACUAUCCAAACUCUGCAAAGGUAUCUGCAUUCAACUAGAUGAUAUGAAUGCUUAAGCAUAUUAUCUUUUUCUUUUUGAAAAUAUUUGAUUUGGAUUCUGUUCUGGCAUUACAUUCAGAAACUUAUCACAUGGUAAUAUAUGAUCUUUGGUUAGCAUAAUUCAUGUAGAUGAUUGGACACUGAGCAUCAAGAAAAUUCUGUGACCAAAUCCUGCAGAAGGAUUAGUUUAUGCUGCAUCAAUUGCGCACAUGAUCCAUGCAUCCAGAAUUAAAAGAAGCUUUUGGGAAAAAUAAAGUUGGAGAAGAAAGCUUGCGUGACCGAUGCCAAUUGAAGUGUUUCCUUCCUCAUCUUGUAAAGUUUGGUGUGUGGAGGAGUCUUCAAACUGAUGUUGAAUCCUGCUGCUUAAUUUUGACCAAAUUAUUGGUGUCAUUAUCCAAUGAACAGCCACCUUUUGACAAAUGAUAUGGACCAGAAUUAGGAUUGAGC